rnacentral:tRNA from 1 species
GCCCAGGUGGAGAAAUUGGUAUACUCGUAAGGUUGAGAGCCUUAUGUCAGCAAUGACGUGCGGGUUCAAAUCCCGCCCUGGGCA